rnacentral:rRNA from 1 species
ACCACUGGAAACGGUGGCUAAUACCGCAUAAUGUCUACGGACCAAAGUGGGGGACCUUCGGGCCUCACACCUAGAGAUGGGCCCAAGUGGGAUUAGCUAGUUGGUGAGGUAAAGGCUCACCAAGGCGACGAUCCCUAGCUGUUCUGAGAGGAUGAUCAGCCACACUGGGACUGAGACACGGCCCAGACUCCUACGGGAGGCAGCAGUGGGGAAUAUUGCACAAUGGGCGCAAGCCUGAUGCAGCCAUGCCGCGUGUGUGAAGAAGGCCUUCGGGUUG